rnacentral:rRNA from 1 species
CGGCGUGCUUAACACAUGCAAGUCGAACGGAAAGGCCCUGCUUUUGUGGGGUGCUCGAGUGGCGAACGGGUGAGUAACACGUGAGUAACCUGCCCUUGACUUUGGGAUAACUUCAGGAAACUGGGGCUAAUACCGGAUAGGAGCUCCUGCUGCAUGGUGGGGGUUGGAAAGUUUCGGCGGUUGGGGAUGGACUCGCGGCUUAUCAGCUUGUUGGUGGGGUAGUGGCUUACCAAGGCUUUGACGGGUGGCCGGCCUGAGAGGGUGACCGGCCACAUUGGGACUGAGAUACGGCCCAGACUCCUACGGGAGGCAGCAGUGGGGAAUAUUGCACAAUGGGCGGAAGCCUGAUGCAGCAACGCCGCGUGCGGGAUGACGGCCUUCGGGUUGUAAACCGCUUUCGCCUGUGACGAAGCGUGAGUGACGGUAAUGGGUAAAGAAGCACCGGCUAACUACGUGCCAGCAGCCGCGGUGAUACGUAGGGUGCGAGCGUUGUCCGGAUUUAUUGGGCGUAAAGGGCUCGUAGGUGGUUGAUCGCGUCGGAAGUGUAAUCUUGGGGCUUAACCCUGAGCGUGCUUUCGAUACGGGUUGACUUGAGGAAGGUAGGGGAGAAUGGAAUUCCUGGUGGAGCGGUGGAAUGCGCAGAUAUCAGGAGGAACACCAGUGGCGAAGGCGGUUCUCUGGGCCUUUCCUGACGCUGAGGAGCGAAAGCGUGGGGAGCGAACAGGCUUAGAUACCCUGGUAGUCCACGCUGUAAACGGUGGGUACUAGGUGUGGGGUCCAUUCCACGGGUUCCGUGCCGUAGCUAACGCUUUAAGUACCCCGCCUGGGGAGUACGGCCGCAAGGCUAAAACUCAAAGGAAUUGACGGGGCCCCGCACAAGCGGCGGAGCAUGCGGAUUAAUUCGAUGCAACGCGUAGAACCUUACCUGGGUUUGACAUGGAUCGGGAGUGCUCAGAGAUGGGUGUGCCUCUUUUGGGGUCGGUUCACAGGUGGUGCAUGCCUGUCGUCAGCUCGUGUCGUGAGAUGUUGGGUUAAGUCCCGCAACGAGCGCAACCCUUGUUCACUGUUGCCAGCACGUUAUGGUGGGGACUCAGUGGAGACCGCCGGGGUCAACUCGGAGGAAGGUGGGGAUGACGUCAAGUCCUCAUGCCCCUUAUGUCCAGGGCUUCACGCAUGCUACAAUGGCUGGUACAGAGAGUGGCGAGCCUGUGAGGGUGAGCGAAUCUCGGAAAGCCGGUCUCAGUUCGGAUUGGGGUCUGCAACUCGACCUCAUGAAGUCGGAGUCGCUAGUAAUCGCAGAUCAGCAACGCUGCGGUGAAUACGUUCCCGGGGCUUGUACACACCGCCCGUCAAGUCAUGAAAGUUGGUAACACCCGAAGCCGGUGGCCUAACCGUUGUGGGGGAGCCGUCGAAGGUGGGACUGGUGAUUAGGACUAAGA